rnacentral:misc_RNA from 1 species
CUUGGUCAUUUAGAGGAAGUAAAAGUCGUAACAAGGUCUCCGUUGGUGAACCAGCGGAGGGAUCAUUACAGAGUUGCAAAACUCCCUAAACCAUUGUGAACGUUACCUAAACCGUUGCUUCGGCGGGCGGCCCGGGUCCUUCCCGGCGCCCCUCGGCCCUCGCGGGCGCCCGCCGGAGGUAAACCAAACUAUUGCAUUGUAUGGCCUCUCUGAGUCUUCUGUACUGAAUAAGUCAAAGCUUUCAACAACGGAUCCCUUGGUUCUGGCAUCGAUGAAGAACGCAGCGAAAUGCGAUAAGUAAUGUGAAUUGCAGAAUUCAGUGAAUCAUCGAAUCUUUGAACGCACAUUGCGCCCGCCAGUAUUCUGGCGGGCAUGCCUGUUCGAGCGUCAUUUCAACCAUCAAGCCCCCGGCUUGUGUUGGGGACCUGCGGCUGCCGCAGGCCCUGAAAAGCAGUGGCGGGCUCGCUGGCACACCGAGCGUAGUAGCAUACAUCUCGCUCUGGGCGUGCUGCGGGUUCCGGCCGUAAAACCACCUUCAUAACCCAAGGUUGACCUCGGAUCAGGUAGGAAGACCCGCUGAACUUAAGCAUAUCAAUAAGCGGAGGA